GCGAAUUAGACGGGUCUGUACGCGUAGGGUUAAAGCGAUGAAACUAUAGGGAAGCUGUCGCAUUGCACAAUCACAUUGAGAGAGAAACGAAAACACAGAAGCCGAGUAGGUGAAGAGGUGGGUGCGACUACACAAACGGCAGCUAUGGCGGACGGAACAUAUAGAAGAAGUAACCGGCGAGCAUCCAUUGAAGCAACGAGUAGACUCCUUGCAGCAAAAAAAACAAAAAAUCAAAGAAGUAACCACGAGAGGGUACAGUUUGGCAUAACACCGAUGACGAUUUUGUUGAUCCACCAGGGCAAGAAUCAAGACAGGAUAAUUGAUAUGGAGCUGGACACAAUAUGAAUUUACAGCCGAAGAAGUUGGAGGGGAUAUGAAUUUCUUUGCCAUAUGGGGUUUGUUAAACAUAUUAAUUAAAACUGUGGAAACGUAUUGCUUGGGAUAUGAAUUUAUUUUUUGUUGCACGGUCGGUUGUUUAACAAUGGUCUACAUAUUUUGG